UUUCCGUAGGUGAACCCGCGGAAGGAUCAUUAAAGUUAUAGUCCCCUGGCCCUCUGGGCUGGGGUCUUCUAUACCACCCUUUGUUUAUUACACCUUUGUUGCUUUGGCAGGCCUGCCCUCGGGCUGCUGGCUCCGGCCGGCUCGCGUCUGCCAGAGGACCUAAACUCUGUUUGUAUAUGGAGUCUGAGUACUAUAUAAUAGUUAAAACUUUCAACAACGGAUCUCUUGGUUCUG
rnacentral:misc_RNA from 1 species